GGGCCUGGAGGGAACCUGGGAGCCUCUCCGCGCCCGGCCGGCGCCCCUGCCACUUGCAGCCCCGGUUGUUUAUUCGGGAGCGGGGGAGGGGAGCGGGGGGAGUUCCUCGGAGUGAAAACCUUUCCGAAGUGGGAGCGAACCUGGGGCGGCCCCCCGCCCCCCGGCCGCAGCCUUCGGAGGAGACUGGGCCGCCGAGGCGGUCGUGAGAGACGGACGGAGAGGAAGCGCCGGCUGGAAUCUCCUAACCGCCCGCUUCUCAUCUUGUCCUGGGGCAGGGACCUCAGGAUGGAAACCAGCAGCCUGCACCGCCCGAGAAGGUCGGCUGGGUCCGGAAAUUCUGCGGGAAAGGGAUUUUCAGGGAGAUUUGGAAAAACCGCUAUGUGGUGCUGAAAGGGGACCAGCUCUACAUCUCUGAGAAGGAGGAAACUCUAGUUACGAAUCAGGGAGAACUUCCUACACAUCAAAGAGAAAAACAUAAUAGUGAAAGGGUAAGAGGAAUAAGACAUCCAUUGCUUGUUUGUAUUUGCCCAAAGAGCAGAGUCUGGGGGCAAAAGCGUAGUUGAUCCUUGCUUUUAGGUACAGAGACAGAGGAAAGGAUGGAAUGACCUCAGCCUAGGAUAUCUGGUGUCCUAUGAGUCAGGACCAUCUGACUGGUCAUGGAGCCAGCUGUCUCCUGCUGGGAAGG
rnacentral:lncRNA from 1 species